rnacentral:rRNA from 1 species
AUAUUGGACAAUGGGGGCAACCCUGAUCCAGCCAUGCCGCGUGUGUGAAGAAGGCCUUCGGGUUGUAAAGCACUUUAAGCAGGGAGGAACGGGUGCUGGCUAAUAUCCAGCAUCAUUGACGUUACCUGCAGAAUAAGCACCGGCUCACUUCGUGCCAGCAGCCGCGGUAAUACGAAGGGUGCAAGCGUUAAUCGGAAUUACUGGGCGUAAAGCGCGCGUAGGCGGUUUGGUCAGUUGGAUGUGAAAGCCCCGGGCUCAACCUGGGAACUGCAUCCAAUACUGCCAGGCUAGAGUACGGGAGAGGGGGGUAGAAUUCCACGUGUAGCGGUGAAAUGCGUAGAGAUGUGGAGGAAUACCGGUGGCGAAGGCGGCCCCCUGGAUCGAUACUGACGCUGAGGUGCGAAAGCGUGGGGAGCAAACAGG